UACGAAGGGUGCAAGCGUUAAUCGGAAUUACUGGGCGUAAAGCGUGCGCAGGCGGUGAUGUAAGACAGAUGUGAAAUCCCCGGGCUCAACCUGGGAACUGCAUUUGUGACUGCAUCGCUAGAGUACGGCAGAGGGGGAUGGAAUUCCGCGUGUAGCAGUGAAAUGCGUAGAUAUGCGGAGGAACACCGAUGGCGAAGGCAAUCCCCUGGGCCUGUACUGACGCUCAUGCACGAAAGCGUGGGGAGCAAACAGG
rnacentral:rRNA from 1 species